rnacentral:rRNA from 1 species
UACGGGGGGUGCAAGCGUUGUUCGGAAUCAUUGGGCGUAAAGAGCGUGUAGGCGGCGCGAUAAGUCAGAUGUGAAAGCCCUGGGCUUAACCCAGGAAGGGCAUUUGAAACUGUCACGCUGGAGUACGGGAGAGGGAAGUGGAAUUCCUGGUGUAGAGGUGAAAUUCGUAGAGAUCAGGAGGAACACCGGUGGCGAAGGCGACUUCCUGGCCCGAUACUGACGAUGAGACGCGAGAGAGUGGGGAGCAAACAGG